GUACCAUCAGACACUCAUCUCCUGAGCCCUGACAGCUUUAGAAUCGUAAUGCAUUUUUGCUGCAUCAUUACCUUUUCUAUCACCAUCAACAGAUAGGCAGACCUGAAAGGUUUAAUGAUUGUCAAAAUUAUCACCCAAGAAUUAGAUUUCUGUAAAUGGAAGAAUAUCUAAAGAACAUCCGGGUGGGAACAUGGAAGAUAGAGAUCUACAAUGUCGCAUGUUCAAGUUUCUUAAUAACCAUAGUAUUAUGCUAUUCAAUUAAACAAAGGGAAAAGAAUAUGCUCUAGAUAGUAUUAAGCUAGCAGUAAGGUAGACCCAACUGGAUCUAAGCAAUCAUAUUGGAUCAAUAAAUGGGUUUUGAUGGACUAAUGAUGCAUUUUAGGUAAGUAUCCAGGCAUCAUGUGGCCAUAAGAAACUUUAUAUAGAUGUCAAGUGCAUGUCAUGCUUCUCAAGAUAUAAGGGAAUUUUUCAAUCAAUCUAAUGGAGUUGCAGAAUCUUCUUCACUUCGCGGGAUCUGAAGAACACAUAGGAACAUGAAAAAUAGAGUAAUAUAUAUCCUGACAUUUGGAAUCGUACAUGAACCAGGAAAAACAAAUAAACUUUCUAUCGAGUUAUGACACUAAAACAUGCUAGAAAUUCUAUUGAAUCGCGGUGUUGGCGAAUAGUCAAGAAGAAUUUAGGAGUGGUUACUCCUCUGAAUCAAAAGUACUCUAGAAAAACGUCUAUAGGUUGGAAUCCUACAAAUUGCUUUAAAAUUCAUUUAAACCAAAGAAGCACAUAGUGUAGGAAAACAAUCCACACAAUUUUGGGGAAUUCAUCCCUUUGAACUAAAUGGUUUCGAGAAUUUCGUAUGGAUUGGAAUCUUACAAAAAUUCUUUGACCAAAGGGCACGCUGGUUCCAUACCUCUUCCUCAAGCAUACUUUUCGCCGCUGCUUUCACAUAGGUUUUCGACUAUUCAACUUCUAUUCAUACUAUGAACAAAAACAUCGCAUUCCUACAGAAAAUGCAUCAGCAACCAUGAACCAAGCCUUGGGUGCAACCAUAUAAGCAAUAUAUAGAAAUUGGCAAAACACGUCAAAAUGCAAGAAAGUGACUGUAUUUUCACAAAGUUCUUCCUCAAAAUUCUUCCUCUUCUUUAUCAGAUCUGCAGGCGUUGUGUUUAGAAAAAA
rnacentral:lncRNA from 1 species